CAUGCUGGGAUUAAAGGAGUACU
rnacentral:piRNA from 1 species